ACAUGUAAUUAGUCUUUUGUACACUUGAUCUCUGAUCCCUGAAGAUAAGCUAAUCUGAGCCUGGUUGGAUGAAUGGGAGACCAGUUGGAACUACCAGGAGCUGCAAGUU
rnacentral:rRNA from 1 species